rnacentral:rRNA from 1 species
CGGAGGAAAAGAAACUAACAAGGAUUCCCCUAGUAACGGCGAGUGAAGAGGGAAGAGCCCAAGAUUGAAAGCUGGCGUCUUCGGCGUCCGCAUUGUAAUCUCAAGAAGUGUUUUCCGCUUCGGACCAUGCCUAAGUCCCUUGGAAAAGGGCAUCAUAGAGGGUGAUAAUCCCGUACAUGGCAUGGAGCGCCCGAAGCUUUGUGAUACGCUUUCUAAGAGUCGAGUUGUUUGGGAAUGCAGCUCAAAAUGGGUGGUAAAUGCCAUCUAAGGCUAAAUAUUGGGGAGAGACCGAUAGCGAACAAGUACAGUGAUGGAAAGAUGAAAAGAACUUUGAAAAGAGAGUUAAACAGUACGUGAAAUUGCCAAAAGGGAAGGGUAGGAGGUCAGAGAUGCGUUCUGGGAUUCAGCCUUGCUUUUGCUUGGUGUUUUUCCCAAAUUGCAGGCCAACGUCGGUUUUGGGCGCUGGAGAAGGGUGGAAGGAACGUGGCACCCCUCGGGGUGUGUUAUAGCUUUCUACUGGAUACAGUGACCGAGACCGAGGACAGCAGCGUACUCGCAAGAGCGGGCCUUCGGGCACCUUUACGCUUAGGGCGUAGGCAUA